rnacentral:rRNA from 1 species
UACGGAGGGUGCAAGCGUUAUCCGGAUUCACUGGGUUUAAAGGGUGCGUAGGUGGGUAAGUAAGUCAGUGGUGAAAUCUCCGGGCUUAACCCGGAAACUGCCAUUGAUACUAUUUGUCUUGAAUACUGUGGAGGUCAGCGGAAUAUGUCAUGUAGCGGUGAGAUGCUUAGAUAUGACAUAGAACACCAAUUGCGAAGGCAGCUGGCUACACAAAUAUUGACACUGAGGCACGAAAGCGUGGGGAUCAAACAGG